UCAUCUUCACACAAUCGCAUAUAAUGAACAAGAAUGGGAUAAAGAGUUGACUUACAAUCACCACUUCACACAAUACAUUAAUUAAACAUACAUCAUUCAGAGUACACACAUAGACCUACUACGGUCAAAAGCCAAAUGAAAAAGGAAGAUAACCCCAAUUGCUAGAUCCCCGAUCGUCCCAACUGGGCACCACUACUGAUCAUCCGGAAAAGAAACAUAGUAAUAGACAAGGUCCUCGUUGAACUCCCACUUGAGCUCGGUUGUGUCACCUGCACUGGUAUCAUCGGCACCUGCAACUGUUUGGUAGUAUCUGUGAAUCACGAGGAGUCAGCAAUCUCAAAACCCGCAAGAUCAAAACUAUUUAAGCUUAUGGGUAGGAUGGGGUAAUGAGGUGGAGUUGCAGCAAGCACUAAGCAAAUAUGGUGGCUAACAUACGCAAAUAAGAGCGAGAAGAGAAGCAACGCAACGGUCGUGAAGCUAGAAGUGAUCAAGAAGUGAUCCUGAAACUACUUGCGUUCAACAAUAACCCAAACCGUGUUCACUUCCGGGACUCCGCCAAAAAGAGACCAUCACGGUUACACACGCGGUUGAUGCAUUUUAAUUAAGUCACGUGUCAAGUUCUCUACAACCGGACAUUAACAAAUUCCCAUCUGCUACAUAACCGCGGGCACGGCUUUCGAAAGUUUAUACCCUGCAGGGGUGUCCCAACUUAGCCCAUCACAAGCUCUCACGAUCAGCGAAGGAUAUUCCUUCUCCUAGAAGACCCGAUCAGUCUCGGAAUCCCGGUUACAAGACAUUUCGACAAUGGUAAAACAAGACCAGCAAGACCGCCCGAAUGUGCCGACAAAUCCCGAUAGGAGCUGCACAUAUCUCAUUCUCAGGGCACACCGGAUAAGCUAAGCGUACAAGUACCAACAUAACCCAAGUUGCAAGGGACGGUCCCGCACGGUGCUCUAGUUUGGACCAACACUCAGAGGAGCACUGGCCCGGGGGGUAAAUAAAGAUGACCCUCUGGCUCCGGAAACCCAAGGGAAAGGCUUAGGUGAGGCAAAUGUAAAACCAAGGUUGGGCCUUGCUGGAGGAGUUUUAUUCAAAGCGAACUGUCAAUGGGUCCCAUAACCCCAACCGCGUAACAAACGCAAAAUCAAGGAACAUAACACCGGUAUGGAAACUAGGACGGCAAGAGUGGAACAAAACACCAGGCAUAUCCCAAUAUAAUCAUGUUCCAACAUGGAGCAAUCUUCAACUUCGCCUGCAACUAACAACGCUAUAAGAAGGGCUGAGCAAAAGCGGUAACAUAGCCGAACAACGGUUUGCUAGGAAGGUGAGUUAGACGCUUGACAUGGGAAUAUGGGAGGCAUGAUAAACAAGUGGUAGGUAGCGCGACAUAGCGAUAGAGCGAACAACUAGCAAGCAAAGAUAGAAGUGAUAUCGAGGAUAAUGGUCAUCUUGCCUGAAAUCCCGCUAGGAAGAAGAUCGAAUCCAUGAAGAAGAAGCUGAAUCAACGUAGUCGAACGGAUCCUCACAAUCGCAACGUAACCGGAAUAACCAAGAAGAAGCGCAACCGAAAAGAAGAAAACAUCAUAGUAAACACACCAUCACAUAAACAUGGCAAUAUGCACAACCAAGUAUGAUGCAUGUCCGGUUUAAUGAGGCAUGGCAUGGCAAAGUGCACAAACAAUACUACAAAUUAAGUGGAGCUUAAUAUGCAUUGACGAAACACCACAUCAAUUAUUUAGUUAUAUCUCAUUUAUGUAUCAACAAUAUUAAAUGUUAUUAAACAUGACAAUAUGGUGAAGCAUAAAUAAGCUAACUAUUUAGGCAAGUUUAAAUGAGGCCGGAUCAACAAACAACAAUACCGAGAAAUCCUCAUGUCCAUAUUUUGAAUUAGCUACUGUUCUGCCAUAAACCAGAUUUUAAAGUUGCUAAAAAUCAAAAUAAAGUGAACCAAGUUAAUCUAGACAUUUUUCCACCCCCAUUUACAUAUAAAGUUUAUUUAAAAUGGAGCUACGGUUAUUUAGUUAUGAAAUAAAGCAUUUUAGCAUGGCAUUUAAGCAAAUUAAAGCAAACAACAAUUUCAACAUUUUAAACAUAGAUGAAAGUGGCAUAUUAUGAAACUAGAUGAAAUUCUAAGCAUUUUACAUAUAAAGUUUGUUUUAAUAUGUUGCAUGGUUUGUGAGAUAUUAAAUGCAUGAAGUCUAGGGGUUUUUCUGUAAAACUGUAUUCUCCGGAUAAUAGGAAAAUCGCAGAUCUGUAAAAAAAAAAUACGCGGGCCGAAUCUGGAACAGGGGCCGAACAGGGCAGGCGCUGGGGGCAGCUCACCCAUGGGCUUCGGCCCGUUUGUAGAGAGGCUUGGCAGGCCGGCGGAUCUGGCGAAGAGGAGCUGGGCCUUGGCGAUUGGCGCGGUCAACGCGGGCAGGACCCAGUCGAGCGAGGCGCUCGCUGCUGCUGCUCGAUGCAGGGAAGCAGAGGACGCAGCGACAGCGGGCUUGGCGAAGGGCGGUGCGACGAGGGACUUGGCGUGGCGCUGGAGAGGAGGCGGGCUGGAUCGAGCGGGCACGCUGGGCCUUGGUCAACGGGACCACGAAGCAGAGGAGGCAGGG
rnacentral:lncRNA from 1 species